GUCGAGCGGUAGCACAGAGAGCUUGCUCUCGGGUGACGAGCGGCGGACGGGUGAGUAAUGUCUGGGAAACUGCCUGAUGGAGGGGGAUAACUACUGGAAACGGUAGCUAAUACCGCAUAACGUCGCAAGACCAAAGUGGGGGACCUUCGGGCCUCAUGCCAUCAGAUGUGCCCAGAUGGGAUUAGCUAGUAGGUGGGGUAAUGGCUCACCUAGGCGACGAUCCCUAGCUGGUCUGAGAGGAUGACCAGCCACACUGGAACUGAGACACGGUCCAGACUCCUACGGGAGGCAGCAGUGGGGAAUAUUGCACAAUGGGCGCAAGCCUGAUGCAGCCAUGCCGCGUGUAUGAAGAAGGCCUUCGGGUUGUAAAGUACUUUCAGCGAGGAGGAAGGCGUUAAGGUUAAUAACCUUAGUGAUUGACGUUACUCGCAGAAGAAGCACCGGCUAACUCCGUGCCAGCAGCCGCGGUAAUACGGAGGGUGCAAGCGUUAAUCGGAAUUACUGGGCGUAAAGCGCACGCAGGCGGUCUGUUAAGUCAGAUGUGAAAUCCCCGGGCUCAACCUGGGAACUGCAUUUGAAACUGGCAGGCUUGAGUCUUGUAGAGGGGGGUAGAAUUCCAGGUGUAGCGGUGAAAUGCGUAGAGAUCUGGAGGAAUACCGGUGGCGA
rnacentral:rRNA from 1 species